GGAGUUUGGGCCGUGUCUCAGUCCCAAUGUGGCCGUUUACCCUCUCAGGCCGGCUACUGAUCGUCGCCUUGGUGGGCCGUUACCUCGCCAACUAGCUAAUCAGACGCGGGUCCAUCUCACACCACCGGAGUUUUUCACACUGUACCAUGCGGUACCGUGCGCUUAUGCGGUAUUAACAGUCGUUUCCAACUGUUAUCCCCCUGUGUGAGGCAGGUUACCCACGCGUUACUCACCCGUCCGCCACUAAGUAUCUCAAUUGAUUCCUCAGAGGCAAGCUUCUUCAGUCUCGGGAGAGAUACUCCGUUCGACUUGCAUGUGUUAAGCACGCCGCCAGCGUUCAUC
rnacentral:rRNA from 1 species